ensembl:snRNA U4 U4 spliceosomal RNA
AGCUUUGCACAGUGGCCGUAUCAUAGCCAGUGAGGUUUAUCCCAGGCAUGAUUAUUGCUAAUUGAAAACUCUUUCCAAAAAUGGAUCCAAGAUGAAACCAAUUUAUUUCCAUCUUGAAUCACCAUGAUGGAGUUUCUAGAUAUAA